rnacentral:lncRNA from 1 species
UGUAAUGAAGUUAAGAAUCUUAAUAUAAGAUUAUCCUGGAAUACCUGACUGGGACCUAAAUCCAAUGACAACCGUCCUUAUAAGAAAAGUGGAGACACGUGGAGGCAAAGGUGCUGUGAACAUGAAGCUAGAGAUAGCAGUGAUGUGGCCACAAGCCAAGGAAGCCCGGGAAUGCCAACAGCCACCAAAAGCUGGAAGAGGUAGGGAGGGAUUCACCUCUAGAGACUCCAGAGGGUCAUGGCCCUGCUGACACCUUGAUUUCGGAAUCCCAGCCUCCAAAAUGGUGAGAGAAUAAAUUUCUGUUGUUUGAAGCCACCUGGUUUAUGAUGAUUUAUUACAGCAGCCCAGAGAAACUAAUACAGUACAGUGGGAACAGGGCCAAGGGAGGUGGUCAGCAGAAAUGAAGCACUGUCCGGAUGGUGUGAAAGUGAUCUAUGCUGUGGUCAGAACAGUGGAAGGCCAUGAACUUUGCCGGCGAGUGCCUUUGUUCUGAGUCAAAGUGUUCCUCGGUAUGUGAAGGACAUCAGGUCCAAAGGCUGCUAGUGACUGAACAGAUAACGUGAAUUCCAUCAAAGCUUGACUUCUGCUCAUCCCUACCUCUCCUCCCGAAGAUAGUACGGAAUUGCAAGGGAAGAAUUGGUCCACGUCUGUGAGAGGAGGCCUCUGAAACACGCUGACUUCACAGAGGAGAAGGAAUGAGCUCAAUUUCAGGCACCUCCUCCGGGGCGGUCAAGAGCAGAAUGAAGGAGAACAUGUAUGGCCCUAGGUUGGCCUUGAAGAAUUAGAGAAGCUGCUGGUGCCCCGCCCCCAACCUGGCCCAACAGCAGAGCCUCCGCUAGGGGGAGCCGUGGAGACCUGAUUUCCUCUGCGCCGCCUUUCCUAAUGAAUACCCCAGGGGAGCUCCUGGCAGCACCCUGUGGAAUGGCCCCGCGGAGCUCUGGCCCCUGGAAUUUGCCCUUCACAAUUAUGCUCCCUGCUGGGAGAAGUAUAAAUAUGGAUGGAGCGUGGCGUCUUUAAACAUGGCACAAGAGUAGAGGAACAACCAAGUCCAAAUGAUAAUAUUUUGAAACGCCACGGGGAGCCUCUGCUGCUGUUGAGUUAGAAUUGCUUCUCUUUCAUGUGAUUAAAGAAGCCCUUGUGGGUUUUUGCUUUUCCUUAGAGACAUACCAUGGUUUCUCCCCCCGCACUACAGCACUGAACGAUUUUUAAGGUUUCUAAGUGCACUCCAUUUACAUUUCCUACUCAUUCUCUAAAUGAAAGGCAGGCUAAAACACAUUAAUGAGCUUCCUGAUUACUGCAGCCCUUGAGAAAUUAAUUAAUGACAAUGCAGCCACACUUAACAUUCCUCCUCCUUUCUGAGUUUGGAAAGCGGGAGGAGCUGCGCUUUAAUCCACGCCCAACCAAGAGCCACCAUGUGUCUUUAGCCGAAGAGUUGGUUUGCCAGGACACAUUUCAGAUUGCCUUUCCUAGAGAAAAGCCAUUCCCUGAAUAAUUAAGAGACAG